rnacentral:rRNA from 1 species
UUGGGAAUCUUGGACAAUGGGGGAAACCCUGAUCCAGCCAUGCCGCGUGAGUGAUGAAGGCCUUCGGGUUGUAAAACUCUUUCGACGGGGACGAUAAUGACGGUACCCGUAGAAGAAGCUCCGGCUAACUUCGUGCCAGCAGCCGCGGUAAUACGAAGGGGGCUAGCGUUGUUCGGAAUUACUGGGCGUAAAGCGCGCGCAGGCGGCUAUCCAAGUCAGUGGUGAAAGCCCGGAGCUCAACUCCGGAACU